GCAAGUCGAACGAAGUGUCCCAAUGAAGAGAGCGAGCUUGCUCAAUCUUGGAUUUGGAUUACCACUUAGUGGCGCAAGGGUGAGUAACACGUGGGUAAUCUACCUUCGAGUCUGGAAUAACAGUUAGAAAUGAUUGCUAAUACCGGAUGACACAGAGAACGAUACGUCAUCUUUAUUAAAAGGAGCCUUUAAAGCUUCGCUUGAAGAUGAGCCUGCGUCGUAUUAGCUAGUUGGUGGGGUAAUGGCCUACCAAGGCAACGAUGCGUAGCCGACCUGAGAGGGUGAUCGGCCACACUGGGACUGAGGCACGGCCCAGACUCCUACGGGAGACAGCAGUUAGGAAUAUUCGUCAAUGGGGGAAACCCUGAACGAGCAAUGCCGCGUGAAGGAUGACGGUCCUAUGGAUUGUAAACUUCUGUUGUUAGGGAAGAACGACCUGUAUAGGAAAUGAUACAGGAGUGACGGUACCUUUCAAGAAAGCUCCGGCUAACUACGUGCCAGCAGCCGCGGUAAUACGUAGGGAGCGAGCGUUGUCCGGAUUUAUUGGGUGUAAAGGGUGCGUAGGCGGCUUUACAGGUCUGUGGUUUAAUCCCGAAGCUUAACUUCGGUUCGCCAUAGAAACCGUAUCGCUUGAGCAUGGUAGAGGCAAGUGGAAUUUCUAGUGUAGCGGUUAAAUGCGUAGAUAUUAGAAGGAACACCAGUGGCGAAGGCGACUUGCUGGGCCAUUGCUGACGCUGAGGCACGAAAGCGUGGGGAGCAAAUAGGAUUAGAUA
rnacentral:rRNA from 1 species